GACGAACGCUGGCGGCGUGCUUAACACAUGCAAGUCGAACGGAAAGGCCCUGCUUUUGUGGGGUGCUCGAGUGGCGAACGGGUGAGUAACACGUGAGUAACCUGCCCCUGACUUUGGGAUAACUUCAGGAAACUGGGGCUAAUACCGGAUAGGAGCUCCUGCUGCAUGGUGGGGGUUGGAAAGUUUCGGCGGUUGGGGAUGGACUCGCGGCUUAUCAGCUUGUUGGUGGGGUAGUGGCUUACCAAGGCUUUGACGGGUAGCCGGCCUGAGAGGGUGACCGGCCACAUUGGGACUGAGAUACGGCCCAGACUCCAACGGGAGGCAGCAGUGGGGAAUAGUGCACAAUGGGCGGAAGCCUGAUGCAGCAACGCCGCGUGCGGGAUGACGGCCUUCGGGUUGUAAACCGCUUUCGCCUGUGACGAAGCGUUAGUGACGGUAAUGGGUAAAGAAGCACCGGCUAACUACGUG
rnacentral:rRNA from 1 species